UACGUAGGUGGCAAGCGUUGUCCGGAUUUACUGGGUGUAAAGGGUGCGCAGGCGGAUUUGUAAGUCAGAGGUGAAAUCUUACGGCUCAACCGUGAAAUUGCCUUUGAUACUGCUUAUCUUGAGUCUGGAAGAGGUUGAUGGAAUUUUAGGUGUAGCAGUGAAAUGCGUAGAUAUCUAAAAGAACACCAGUGGCGAAGGCGGUCAACUGGUCCAAGACUGACGCUCAUGCACGAAAGCGUGGGGAGCAAACAGG
rnacentral:rRNA from 1 species